rnacentral:rRNA from 1 species
UACGUAGGGCGCAAGCGUUGUCCGGAAUUAUUGGGCGUAAAGAGCGCGCAGGCGGUCGUUCAAGUCGAGUGUGAAAGCCCCCGGCUCAACUGGGGAGGGUCACUCGAUACUGAUCGACUCGAAGGCAGGAGAGGGAAGCGGAAUUCCCGGUGUAGUGGUGGAAAUGCGUUGAUAUCGACAGGAACGCCGGUGGCGAAAGCGGACCGCUGGCCCUCUUCUGACGCUGAGGCGCGAAAGCCAGGGGAGCGGAACGGG